AGUCGAGCGAAUCCCCGCAAGGGGGGAAGCGGCGAAAGGGGCAGUAAGGCAUGGGUAACCUACCCUGGGGACUGGGAUAGCCCUUCGAGAGAAGGGGUAAUACCGGGCGAUGUGCCGGGCCGGCAUCGGUCUGUCACCAAAUGAGUUUCGCCCUGGGAGGGGCCCAUGUGAUAUUAGCUAGUUGGUGAGGUAACGGCUCACCAAGGCGAAGAUGUCUAGCGGGUGUGAGAGCACGACCCGCGCCACUGGCACUGAGACACUGGCCAGACACCUACGGGUGGCUGCAGUCGAGGAUCUUCGGCAAUGAGCGCAAGCUUGACCGAGCGACGCCGCGUGGGCGAUGAAGGCCUUCGGGUUGUAAAGCCCUGUCGAGAGGGAGAAAGGGAAACUUGAUCUAUCUCUGGGGGAAGCACGGGCUAAGUUCGUGCCAGCAGCCGCGGUAAAACGAACCGUGCGAACGUUGUUCGGAAUCACUGGGCUUAAAGGGCGCGUAGGCGGGUCGCCAAGUUUGGGGUGAAAUCCUCCCGCUCAACGGGAGAACGGCCUUGGAUACUGGCGAUCUCGAGGGGGAUAGGGGCAUGCGGAACUACGGGUGGAGCGGUGAAAUGCGUUGAUAUCCGUAGGAACUCCGGUGGCGAAGGCGGCGUGCUGGAUCCCUUCUGACGCUGAGGCGCGAAAGCCAGGGGAGCAAACGGGAUUA
rnacentral:rRNA from 1 species